rnacentral:rRNA from 1 species
ACGCACGCUGGCGGCGUGCUUCACCCAUGCAAGUCGAACGGAAAGGCCCUGCUUUUGUGGGGUGCUCGAGUGGCGAACGGGUGAGUAACACGUGAGUAACCUGCCCUUUACUUUGGGAUAACUUCAGGAAACUGGGGCUAAUACCGGAUAGGAGCUCCUGCUGCAUGGUGGGGGUUGGAAAGUUUCGGCGGUUGGGGAUGGACUCGCGGCUUAUCAGCUUGUUGGUGGGGUAGUGGCUUACCAAGGCUUUGAUGGGUAGCCGGCCUGAGAGGGUGACCGGCCACAUUGGGACUGAGAUACGGCCCAGACUCCUACGGGAGGCAGCAGUGGGGAAUAUUGCACAAUGGGCGGAAGCCUGAUGCAGCAACGCCGCGUGCGGGAUGACGGCCUUCGGGUUGUAAACCGCUUUCGCCUGUGACGAAGCGUGAGUGACGGUAAUGGGUAAAGAAGCACCGGCUAACUACGUG